AGUUUCUUGUUUUUUUUUGAGAAAUGUUUUCUGCUCAGUGUUGUUAAACAGCCGCGGUAAUUUGACCGUGCAAAGGUAGCAUAAUCAUUUGCCUUGUAAUUUGGGGCUGGAAUGAAUGGAAUUACAGAGAACUGUCUUUCUUUUCUUUUUUGGUAGAAUUUGUUUUUUGUGUGAAGAGACAUAAAUGGAGUAAAGGGACAAGAAGACCCUUUUGAGCUUUAUUUUAUUUUAUUUUUUUAUAUUGUUUUAAGAUAAGUAAAAUUUGGUUGGGGCGACCAAGGAAGAAAGAAUCUUCCUUUAUUUUUAUUGUUAUAUAAAUUAGAUGUAUUUUGGUGUCUGUAGAUGUUAUUAUUGAUCCUUAGGUUUUGAUUAAAAGAUUAAGUUACCAAAGGGAUAACAGCGUAAUUGUCUUUGUGAGUUCUUAUUAAAGAGAUAGAUUGCGACCUCGAUGUUGACUUUUAGUUCCUUUUUGGUGUAGCAGCUGUUUGUAGGAGGUCUGUUCGACCUUUAAAUCUAA
rnacentral:rRNA from 1 species